AUGAAUAAAAGUGAGAUCCGCUCCGCGGCGGAGUGUAGGGCUCCUCUGUGGAGCAAAUUGCAGGACGCUGCUGUAGAACGGAGUGCUGGGCUCUGUUGUGGAGCGAAGAGCCAGGCUCUGCUUUUGGGUGGAGAGCCAGGCUCUGCUUUAGAGCGGAGAGUCAGGCUCUGCUUUAGAGCGGGGUGCAGGGGUCCGUUGUGGAGCGCAGUGUACUUCGUAAAAAAGAGUUGGUUUCGCUCUGCAAGAGCGUACUUCACUCCGUAUUCGUACCACUCGAGUUUUCCAGGAGCGAAAUUGGCUCCGGAGCCAACUGCACUCCGGCUAUCCCUCCGUUAUUUUGAACAGUAAAUGCGUUUACACAGGCCCUUGUGGAAAUUGAUAAUCAAAUGAAUUUUGAAGUGCUUACGAGAACUUGUGACUUUAAGGUUUAAAAAGAAACAUCCCCUUUCAAAUUUUACUUUUAGUGCGGUCAAGAAAAUUUUCAUUUUUUUGAGUUUUCUAAUGAGAGCUCGUGUAAUCCUGAAGCCAGCUGUUUCCAUCUCCAUAUCGAACCGGGCAAUCUCUGUCAGGGAGGUAUUAGUUGACGUGAAUCUUUAUACGAGGUAAAUUAACAUCGAGAUAUCACACGGACCCGAUUGACGUUCAUGCACACUGACAAAUUAUUGAAUUAGAAUAGGAUUUUCCCACACUUUCAGCGGCCGUUCAAAUAUUAUACACAGGACAUUUCGGCCGACUUUUUGACCCCCUCCCCUAUGAGGCACCCUUGAGACAGUCUCUCAGCCUCUUUUGAAAUUACAUGUAAUGGGCCUGCCCCCCUCCCCCAAUUGUUAGAGAAAAUGACGAUGAAAGUUUUAAAAGUAGCUGAUCAAACCAUUUUUAUUGAAAAAUAUUAUUCAUUUUUUUUAUUUUAUUUUUUUAAAUGAAGCUUGUUAUUGGCACAUAGAGUGAGAAAAAAAUGUUACGUCACCUGUAUAAGUACAUUGCAGCUAUUCUUUCCCCAAAAAUCACUUUUGUUAUCCCUCAAACUAAAGCUGAAAGCAUUCGAGCGCGGAAUAUUGCAUUCGACCAGACAAAUGAAACAAUGGACUUGUUUCGAAUACUUUCAUCUUGUCAUCGAGUUUUUACAAAAUGAUUUUUGGGGGAGAAAAAAAACUUACAUGUGCUUUUGAGGUGCAGUAGAAUAGCUCCGUUUUUGCCACAAAUUUAAAGCGAACCCCGUAUUGCAGCAAAGUUUGUACGAUAUCUCGAUGUUCACUUGCUGCCGUUAAAGAUUCAUUUUGAUGUCCUUGAAACGUAUCCUGAUCCCUCUUGCGCAAUGAGAGUAACAACUACCGAAGAUCGAUUACUCAAUCGAUUUUUCUUCCUCAGUAUAUGCCCAUCGCAAUUUCACCUAACCACUUGAAUGUAUUAUUUUUAACAAAAGCCCGACUAUUGCGAAAUCUGUUCUUCCCAAUGCAAUAUUUUCGAUUUUGAUUGUGUUUUCUUUUUCAAAGGAAUUGACUCUGUCUGUAAUACAAUAUGUAGUAAGUGCGUAAGAUAAUCCCCGAUCAAAUUCUGUGCGACUUCCCUGACCGCUAAUUGUUUUUAGUACCGUCCAAACAUCCUAGUUACCAUGUUAUUUCCUUCCAUAUCCGUAUUGUAAGUCUCUGCGGUAACUUAGGAUCUCGAGGCGUAGUUUAUUAAGUGCUUUGUAAUCUUCGUUUAUUAUCUCGUAUAUAUUGCUUGAUCUUUUUGUUGAAUUGUUUAUGUUGUUGAGUUAAUUUAUAUCAGCGUCUGAAUAAGCGGGGAUGUAAAAGGUUAAUUUAGAAACAUUGGCUGUGAGCGUACAAUGCCAUUACAAUUUUUUUCUUCAAAAUCUGAAUUAUAUUGGUACUGGUAUAUAUAACCAAGCAUAGAGAACACGUGACAAUUAAAAAAGAAAAUUAAUGAUUCCCGGAGCAACGUUAUUGCUCAACCUGUUAGCUGAAAGUUGGCAAGACUGUCUGCUUACCUCAAUUUGAAUGUGUGUAAAACAAUCGAUUCUUAGUGAGGCAGCUAACCUUACUUAAAAUCGAUAUUUUUGGUAGAUUUAAAUGAAGGAACGAUAGUGCUGCUAACUAGAAAAAUCGCCAAUGCUUUCAACGCGGAAACGUCCAAAAUAUCGGUGAUGUUUAGGAGGUUCGGUAAGAUACAAAUCGAUAAAUUUACAUCGCCUAAGAGGACGAGCAAAUCACAGAUCCAAGGUCGCAAAAACUAAACCCUUCGAGGUAGCUUUCCCUCUCAAAAAACUGAAUUUUUAACAUGAACAGUAUGACGGAGGAAAUAGUAAAUGGAAUUUAUGACACUAAAUAUAUUCUUUAAAAAUUGCCGGGUUGUCGAUUAUCAAAAAAUAAAAAACCUUUUACAUCUUUGGCUUGGACAGGCUUGAUUAUUAGACAUUUAUGUUCUAGGUGUAAAUAUAUAUUAUUCCUUCAUUUCUGCAUCAAAAUAAUUUUCUUCUCACUUUUCGAUUCCUCGGUGCACCACGAAUUUUUAAAAAAUCUGGGUUGUAAGGAGAAGUGGUGGAUGAAUGUACGUGUAAUCAGAAUCCACUGAACCACAUUUCACGCUCCCAUAGAAAAAUCAAAUCCAACAAAAUCAGCAAAAAAUUCUUAAUGAUUAGACGAUAUCGUCCAUAUUUUUUUUGUGCUAAAAUCAACUCAAAAUUGACGUAUUUAUGUCAAAAAGAACUAUGUUGCACGCAAUCCCUAUGCACAUAGGUGCUUUUGGUAUAAAUGCGUUCAAAUAUAAUUUCUAACAUACACUACAUCUAAUGACUUUUUUCCAUAAACGACUCCAUUUCCAAGAAAAUCGAUGAAAAAAAAACUGUCCGUACCGACUUACGUCAUGGUUUGGUUUCAUUUUCACCACACGAAUUGAUAUUCUUCAGCCGGGAGGCCCUUUUCAACCGUGACAUUUUUGCCAGAUCCUGCUUAAUAUUCAGCACAUUUCCUGAGUCAACUCGAUGUUAAAAAUCCAGAUCUUUUCAGACAAUAUAGCAACCUUCCACGGUGACAUCCACGCCCGAAGCAAGAGGCAAAAAAACCCGAUGAAGUGCUGAAAUAUGCACAGCAUUUGACGUUGCUUUGUACGCACAAUAAGUGAAAAUUCAAGUUCCGCGGAAUAAAAGUAAUAGAUGAUGCGCACCUGAAACAAACCUGGAAACACUUAUCCGCCCCUUCAUGCUUAGUGCUAAUUUAAAUUAUAAAUUAACGCCAAAAAUACUUAAUUAUCUCCCGAAAAAGCGCGAACCAGGAUUGCGCAAAUUUCAACAGGAUUCCGCAAAUGGCUAUACAGUACGAUUGUGCGCACUGCGCAUGGGAAUACACUUUCCCCGCUCAUUUUUAAAAUUCCGCGAAGAGCAAUAUUAAUAAUGGACCACUAGACAAGGUACGGAUUUCAGCAAUCUGAUACAUGUUUCUCAACCAAAAUUUCACGUAAAACACGAUGCACAAAACGAAAAUUACCGAAAUCGACUUCUUACAAAGAUAUUUAAUGAUUCUUAAUGCGUGAAUUCAAACCACCCGCUCAUGAAAACUCAAUGCUCUACGUGAUUCACAUCGCGCGCUAAACGUUAUCAUGACAGAAUCUGCGAUUUAAAAAUCUGGCAACCUCAACUUGACGCUUUGUCUCAGCUGUAGCAAAUUGCUAAUAGUUUGAACAACACAUGUGGGAAAUGAACAUUGCUCGAUUGAGAAGCUUGCUGAAGCCGUUGUAGUGCGCAAUUUGACUCACGUAGAGCUUUGAGUUUCUUGUGAGCGGGCAGUUCAAAUUCCUUGUAACCAAUGUGAAAUAAAAACGUUGAUAUCUUCGUUAGGAGUUAGUUUCAGUAAUAUUCGUUGCGCUAAUCGGGUUCUACAUGAAAUUCUGGUUAAGAAACAUGUAUCAGAUUGCUUAAAUUCGAACCUUGUCUCGUGGUCCUUUAUAGCAGUGUGGGAUACGGGCUAACUCCUAUGAAAUACAGCUUUUGAAUGUUUGCAAAUUCAAGACGAAAAAGCCUUGCCGCACAAAUCAUGACAGGGUUUGGCGGAUUAAAAUUUCGUGCAAUUGUUUUCUAUCUUGUCCUGAAUGGAAACUAAACGUCUCUGAAAUUUCCUCUGACUACCCGAAAAAUCGGCACGACGUCGGACAGAAUUCCAUAUGCUAUACUCUACAUUCUAUAUUCGUCGCUCUAUAUGUGGAAGGGGGUAUCAGCCUGCGUUAUGCUGCGUUACAAACGAAGGAGGGAGGUCCGUGCAAGCGUUGAAUGACCCACUCUUCUUGUAAAAAAGAACAUCCCAAAUUUUCAGAAAAUUUGCACCACAGAGAGCACUAAUCAAUAAAAUGCAUGUAUCAUCUUCAUUUCUUUGAUGUCAUUAGUCACAUCAUUAAAAAUCCUUCAAAUUUUAUCUAGCUAAGUAUCAAUGGUUUCACACAGUUUUGGGG
rnacentral:lncRNA from 1 species